CCCUUCGUAGGCCCAAGGGCAGCCCCUCUGAAGGACACCCUACCCUGCCAGCCCCCUCACAGUUUCACAUCACCUCUGUUUCAGAAAAGCAGUCUUCCUCUCAACCUCUCUACGAAAGCAGAAGUUCUCUGCUAGGGCACGGUGAAUCUCCCUCUUCAAACUAGCUAAGUUCGUUUUGGCUUUCAACUCAUUGUAGUAGUUUCUGAAGUUGUGGUGUUCCGUGGUGUGGACUCGUUGUGUUUGCUAGCGCUUAAAAAGAUGGAGGAAAUUCUGGGAGUAGGCCCAGUGGUAGCAGUGGUGCAGCUUAGGAGAUCUGUCUGUGUGACUCUCAGGAUCAGUCUAUGGCCCUAAGUGCCUUUUUGUAAUCUCAUGCUCUAGAGGAGCAUCGCCUUUUGUAAAACUGUUAACUUUCUCUUAGGUUGUGUAUGGCAUGGUGGUAUGCCUAAAUUUGUUUUCACAGUAUACUUCUGGAUGACUGUAACAGUUACCUUUUCUACGUUUAUGUUCAUCUGAGUGUUUCUC